rnacentral:rRNA from 1 species
AGUGAACGCUGGCGGUAGGCCUAACACAUGCAAGUCGAACGGCAGCACAGGAGAGCUUGCUCCCUGGGUGGCGAGUGGCUGACGGGUGAGGAAUACAUCGGAAUCUACUCUGUCGUGGGGGAUAACGUAGGGAAACUUACGCUAAUACCGCAUACGACCUACGGGUGAAAGAAGGGGAUCUUCGGACCUUGCGCGAUUGAAUGAGCCGGUGUCGGAUUAGCUAGUUGGCGGGGUAAAGGCCCACCAAGGCGACGAUCCGUAGCUGGUCUGAGAGGAUGAUCAGCCACACUGGAACUUAGACACGGUCCAGACUCCUACGGGAGGCAGCAGUGGGGAAUAUUGGACAAUGGGCGCAAGCCUGAUCCAGCCAUACCGCGUGGGUGAAGAAGGCCUUCGGGUUGUAAAUCCCUUUUGUAGGGAAAGAAAUCCAGAUGGUUAAUACCCGGUUGGGAUGACGGUACCCAAAGAAUAAGCACCGGCUAACUUCGUGCCAGCCGCCGCAGUAA